CACGUCAGCGCGCUUUGCUGACGUGGACACAAAUCGCGCUUCAGAGGACGCGAUUUCCUGACACGUCCCCUAACAUCGCGCUGACGUGG
rfam:Gossypium hirsutum cultivar TM-1 chromosome 9, whole genome shotgun sequence